rnacentral:pre_miRNA from 1 species
AGCUUUUCGAAUCCGUGCACAGAUUUCGUCAGGCACCAACACACUAGGGCUGAUCCGACUUCCAAGAUAAGUGACGUG